rnacentral:rRNA from 1 species
UACGUAGGGUGCAAGCGUUAAUCGGAAUUACUGGGCGUAAAGCGUGCGCAGGCGGUUGUGCAAGACAGAUGUGAAAUCCCCGGGCUCAACCUGGGAAUUGCAUUUGUGACUGUACGGCUAGAGUGUGUCAGAGGGGGGUAGAAUUCCACGUGUAGCAGUGAAAUGCGUAGAUAUGUGGAGGAAUACCGAUGGCGAAGGCAGCCCCCUGGGAUAACACUGACGCUCAUGCACGAAAGCGUGGGGAGCAAACAGG